GAUGAAGAACGCAGCGAAAUGCGAUAAGUAGUGUGAAUUGCAGAAUUUAGUGAAUCAUCGAAUUUUUGAACGCAUAUUGCGCUCUAUAGUACUCUAUAGGGCAUGCCUGUUCGAGCGUCAUUUUACCACUCAAGCCCUGCUUGUUUAUGGGUGAUUGUCCUAUACAGACUGGCCUAAAAUUUAUUGGCGGUUUAUUAUUUGGCUUGUAAGCGCAGUAAACAUGCUCCUACAGCUAUUCUAGUAGCGCCCAGAAGCCUCUUUUAAUCUUGACCUCGGAUCAGGUAGGGAUACCCGCUGAACUUAAGCAUAUCAAUAAGCGGAGGA
rnacentral:misc_RNA from 1 species